UUAAUAAGUGUUUUAUGGCACUUUUAAAUCCAUAUCCACCUUGUGUGCAAUGUCAGUCGAUCUUCUUCAUGGAGAUCGACCAAACAUCAACCUUUAUCUUUUAACUCUUGUCUGAAAAAUAUUAUGAAUAAACAAUUCAAAAUA
rnacentral:misc_RNA from 1 species